GAUGAACGCUAGCUACAGGCUUAACACAUGCAAGUCGAGGGGAAACGCCAUCGAAAGCUUGCUUUUGAUGGGCGUCGACCGGCGCACGGGUGAGUAACGCGUAUCCAACCUGCCCAUCACUUGGGAAUAACCUUGCGAAAGUAAGACUAAUACCCAAUGAUAUCCCACGAAGGCAUCGGAAUGGGAUUAAAGAUUUAUCGGUGAUGGAUGGGGAUGCGUCUGAUUAGCUUGUUGGCGGGGUAACGGCCCACCAAGGCAACGAUCAGUAGGGGUUCUGAGAGGAAGGUCCCCCACAUUGGAACUGAGACACGGUCCAAACUCCUACGGGAGGCAGCAGUGAGGAAUAUUGGUCAAUGGGCGAGAGCCUGAACCAGCCAAGUAGCGUGCAGGAUGACGGCCCUAUGGGUUGUAAACUGCUUUUAUAAGGGAAUAAAGUGGGUCUCGUGAGACUUUUUGCAUGUACCUUAUGAAUAAGGACCGGCUAAUUCCGUG
rnacentral:rRNA from 1 species